rnacentral:rRNA from 1 species
UACGAAGGGGGCUAGCGUUGUUCGGAAUCACUGGGCGUAAAGCGCACGUAGGCGGGUCUUUAAGUCAGAGGUGAAAUCCCAAGGCUCAACCUUGGAACUGCCUUUGAUACUGGGGAUCUUGAGUCCGGGAGAGGUGAGUGGAACUGCGAGUGUAGAGGUGAAAUUCGUAGAUAUUCGCAAGAACACCAGUGGCGAAGGCGGCUCACUGGCCCGGUACUGACGCUGAGGUGCGAAAGCGUGGGGAGCAAACAGG